GUGGUGGGUGUCAGGGAUGGGCAGGGACUCUUAUCUGGGCCCAUCCAGCUCCCUGCCUGGCUCUCCCCACUCCUUUGCAGAGCCAUCCCCACUGCUGGGAUGUUUGGGGUGCAGCAGGAAUUGCCAGUCUCUGCAGCUCUCCUCUCCCCGGCUCAGGAAACUUGACUUCAUGCUUGCCUGGAAACCCACCUUCCAGCCCUGCCCUCGCUGAGACCUGUGAGACGGAAGAGGUUCUAGGCCCACCUCAGGGUCUCAGCAGCAAGCCACCAUGUGGUGAGCUGCCCUACUGAGAAGCUCACAUAGCAAGGAGGGCAGCCUCCAGCCUGCAGCCACUGAGAAACUGAGGUCCACAGGGACUGAACCCUGCCAAUAACCUCUUGAUGAGCUUGGAAGUCAAUCCACCCCCAGUUAAGCUUGGAGAUGACUGCAGGCCCAGCCAUCACCUUGACUACAGCCUCACGGCCAACCCAGAAGCAGAGAGCCCGGCUAAGUGAUGGCCAGGUUCCUGACUCACAGAAACUAUGAGAUAAUAAAU
rnacentral:lncRNA from 1 species